UACGGGGGGGCAAGCGUUGUUCGGAAUUACUGGGCGUAAAGGGCUCGUAGGUGGCCAACUAAGUCAGACGUGAAAUCCCUCGGCUUAACCGGGGAACUGCGUCUGAUACUGGAUGGCUUGAGUUCGGAAGAGGCGAGUGGAAUUCCUGGUGUAGCGGUGAAAUGCGCAGAUAUCAGGAGGAACACCAAUUGCGAAGGCAGCUCGCUGGGACGUUACUGACGCUGAGACGCGAAAGCGUGGGGAGCAAACAGG
rnacentral:rRNA from 1 species